UACGGGGGGGGCAAGCGUUGUUCGGAAUUACUGGGCGUAAAGGGCUCGUAGGCGGCCAACUAAGUCGGAUGUGAAAUCCCCAGGCUUAACCUGGGAACUGCAUCCGAUACUGGAUGGCUUGAAUCCGGGAGAGGGAUGCAGAAUUCCAGGUGUAGCGGUGAAAUGCGUAGAUAUCAAGAGGAACACCAGUGGCGAAGGCGAGUCCCUGGACAACUUCUGACGCUGAGGCACGAAAGCUAGGGGAGCAAACAGG
rnacentral:rRNA from 1 species